UAACUGAAGAGUUUGAUCAUGGCUCAGAUUGAACGCUGGCGGCAGGCCUAACACAUGCAAGUCGAGCGGAAACGAUCCUAGCUUGCUAGGAGGCGUCGAGCGGCGGACGGGUGAGUAAUGCAUAGGAAUCUGCCCGGUAGUGGGGGAUAACUUGAGGAAACUCAAGCUAAUACCGCAUACGCCCCAAGGGGGAAAGCAGGGGAUCUUCGGACCUUGCGCUAUCGGAUGAGCCUAUGUCGGAUUAGCUAGUUGGUGAGGUAAUGGCUCACCAAGGCCGCGAUCCGUAGCUGGUCUGAGAGGAUGAUCAGCCACAUCGGGACUGAGACACGGCCCGAACUCCUACGGGAGGCAGCAGUGGGGAAUAUUGGACAAUGGGCGAAAGCCUGAUCCAGCCAUGCCGCGUGUGUGAAGAAGGCCUUCGGGUUGUAAAGCACUUUCAG
rnacentral:rRNA from 1 species